rnacentral:rRNA from 1 species
UACAGAGGUCUCGAGCGUUGUUCGGAUUCAUUGGGCGUAAAGGGUGCGUAGGUGGCGCUGUAAGUCGGGUGUGAAAUCCUGAGGCUUAACCUCGGAACUGCAUUCGAUACUGCGGUGCUUGAGGACUGGAGAGGAGACUGGAAUUCAUGGUGUAGCAGUGAAAUGCGUAGAGAUCAUGAGGAAGACCAGUGGCGAAGGCGGCGCUCUGGACCGAGACUGACGCUGAGGCGCGAAAGCGUGGGGAGCAAACAGG